rnacentral:rRNA from 1 species
UCAGGAUGAACGCUGGCGGCGUGCCUAACACAUGCAAGUCGAACGGAGUAAUUAAGCGGAAGUUUCGGAUGGAAGCAUAGUACUAGUGGCGGACGGGUGAGUAACGCGUGGGCAACCUGCCCUGUACCGGGGGAUAACACUUAGAAAUAGGUGCUAAUACCGCAUAAGCGCACAGCUUCGCAUGAAGGUGUGUGAAAAACUCCGGUGGUACAGGAUGGACCCGCGUCUGAUUAGCUAGUUGGUGGGGUAGAGGCCUACCAAGGCGACGAUCAGUAGCCGGCCUGAGAGGGUGACCGGCCACAUUGGGACUGAGACACGGCCCAAACUCCUACGGGAGGCAGCAGUGGGGAAUAUUGCACAAUGGGGGAAACCCUGAUGCAAGCGACGCCGCGUGAGUGAAGAAGUAUUUCGGUAUGUAAAGCUCUAUCAGCAGGGAAGAAAAUGACGGUACCUGACUAAGAAGCCCCGGCUAACUACGUGCCAGCAGCGGC